rnacentral:piRNA from 1 species
UGAGAUGUUUUCAGUUGGAGCCAUGGUUA